GUGGGGAAUUUUGGACAAUGGGCGCAAGCCUGAUCCAGCAAUGCCGCGUGUGUGAAGAAGGCCUUCGGGUUGUAAACUGCUUUUGUACGGAACGAAACGGUCCUGGUUAAUACCUGGGGCUAAUGACGGUACCGUAAGAAUAAGCACCGGCUAACUACGUGCCAGCAGCCGCGGUAAUACGUAGGGUGCAAGCGUUAAUCGGAAUUACUGGGCGUAAAGCGUGCGCAGGCGGUUUUGUAAGACAGGCGUGAAAUCCCCGGGCUCAACCUGGGAAUUGCGCUUGUGACUGCAAGGCUGGAGUGCGGCAGAGGGGGAUGGAAUUCCGCGUGUAGCAGUGAAAUGCGUAGAUAUGCGGAGGAACACCGAUGGCGAAGGCAAUCCCCUGGGCCUGCACUGACGCUCAUGCACGAAAGCGUGGGGAGCAAACAGGAUUAGAAACCCGUGUAGUCC
rnacentral:rRNA from 1 species